AGGACGAACGCUGGCGGCGUGCCUAACACAUGCAAGUCGAACGCGCUCCAUUCGGUAGCAAUACUGAUGAAGAGUGAGUGGCGAACGGGUGAGUAACACAUGAGCAACCUGCCCCGAAGACUGGGACAACACCGGGAAACCGGUGCUAAUACCGGAUAUCCCUAUCGGACCGCAUGAUCUGAUAAGGAAAUGGAUUCCGCUUCGGGAGGGGCUCGUGGCCUAUCAGCUAGUUGGUGAGGUAACGGCUCACCAAGGCAUCGACGGGUAGCUGGUCUGAGAGGACGAUCAGCCACACUGGGACUGAGACACGGCCCAGACUCCUACGGGAGGCAGCAGUGGGGAAUAUUGCGCAAUGGGCGAAAGCCUGACGCAGCGACGCCGCGUGGGGGAUGAAGGCCUUCGGGUUGUAACCCCUUUCAGCAGGGACGAAGCGAGAGUGACGGUACCUGCAGAAGAAGCGCCGGCUACUACGCGCCAGCAGCCGA
rnacentral:rRNA from 1 species